rnacentral:rRNA from 1 species
UACCUACGGGGGGCAGCAGUGGGGAAUAUUGCACAAUGGGGGAAACCCUGAUGCAGCGACGCCGCGUGAGCGAAGAAGUAUUUCGGUAUGUAAAGCUCUAUCAGCAGGGAAGAAAAAUGACGGUACCUGAGUAAGAAGCACCGGCUAAAUACGUGCCAGCAGCCGCGGUAAUACGUAGGGGGCAAGCGUUAUCCGGAUUUACUGGGUGUAAAGGGAGCGUAGACGGCAGCGCAAGUCUGGAGUGAAAUGCCGGGGCCCAACCCCGGAACUGCUUUGGAAACUGUGCGGCUCGAGUGCGGGAGCGG